UACGUAGGGGGCUAGCGUUGUCCGGAUUUAUUGGGCGUAAAGAGCUCGUAGGUGGUUCGGUAAGUCAGGUGUGAAACCUCCAGGCUCAACCUGGAGACGCCACUUGAUACUGCUGUGACUGGAGUCCGGUAGGGGAGCGUGGAAUUCCUGGUGUAGCGGUGAAAUGCGCAGAUAUCAGGAGGAACACCGAUGGCGAAGGCAGGUCACUGGGCCGCAACUGACGCUGAGGAGCGAAAGCAUGGGGAGCGAACAGG
rnacentral:rRNA from 1 species